GCCCCGAUGAUCCUGGCUGGCGCUGGGGCUGGACUUCAAAUCCAGUGAGGGUUGACGCCCUAGAGGUUCGAUUCCUCCUUCGAGGCG
rnacentral:tRNA from 1 species